AUUCUCUAGCUCGAUUAAUGUGUUAUGUAUGUGAUGUGCUGAUGAAUAGAAUAUAUAUGGAUCUAUGGACAUAGUACAUAACAGUAGUUUCUCUCGUUAACAUGUGAGUUGUCAGAGUGUCGCUUGGGGCGGUUUUGCGAAAAAAAAAUAGGAAAAAAAAAAAAAUUACAAAAUACGUGGGCGAGGGUGGAAUAAAACGGCGGGGAUAAAGCGUGGGUUGGAAUGGGUGGUAGUGGGGUUGAAACGGAAGUGACGUGUUGGAGGUGGAGCAGAACACGGUGGAGAGGGAUGUUCAACCGGGAUAUGGUUAAAGUCCUAGUCUACUGCAGAACGCUGUUUAAGUGAGACGUGUAGUUGGUUUAGUUGUUAGUUUUAUUAUUGACGACCGCGCUUGUUCAUUUAUUUAUUUAUUUAUUUAUUUAUUUAUUUAUUUAUUCAUCCUCUUCCACUUCCACUUCCACCAGACAUCUGCAGCCUCUGCCAAGCUUCCGAUCCUGGCUAACAUUAUUUAUUUAACUUUUUAAUUAUUUACUAACUGGCGAGACAUCUGCUAGCUAAUGGACAAAUUUUAAUUCAAGAUUAUUAAAACAAAUUAAAGUAGUAAAAAAAUGAUUAAAAACUGGAUUAAUUAUAAAAAAUUUAAAAAAGGACCUUUUGGUAAAAAUGAAUUAGAUUGGGAACCCACUAGAGCAAACACUAGUGACGUAGAUACAAAUUUAAAUUGAAUUGUUAUGUGAACCAUGAAGCACGUACCGAGACCCGAUACACCUACGUAGAUGUCUAACACGAGUGCCGAGAGAGUAUCAAUGGUCGCAAGAUUGCCGAGCACUGCGCAGCAUUCGAGCCACAGAAAUGUCGGAGAACCACACGGCACACAUCCACUAUCAACUCUAUCCACUAUCCACGUGCCUUUUAUACCGCACUGAUAUCCAAUACCAUUUCCCAAUACUAUUUAUCCCAAAUACGAAUGCCUCCAGACCAUCUAAUCCAUUUACUAUUGCAAAUUACAUUCCAUUAAAAGUAAAAACAAUAAGAAAUAGUACUCAGCCGACACUCGAUCUCUCGAUAAAUAGCCGCCUUAAAGAAAGAUUACUUCUUACGACUAUAACUUUUCUCAAUUACAGUAUCGACAAAAUUUAAAUCAGUUAAAUCAGUGUCAACAACAAA